CUACCAGAAAACGUCAAAAGGAAAGUUAGGACCGGGGGCCCGGCCACAAGCGGUGGAGCAUGUGGUUUAAUUACGAAGCAACGCGAAGAACCUUACCAGGCCUUGACAUGCAGAGAACUUUCCAGAGAUGGAUUGGUGCCUUCGGGAACUCUGACACAGGUGCUGCAUGGCUGUCGUCAGCUCGUGUCGUGAGAUGUUGGGUUAAGUCCCGCAACGAGCGCAACCCUUGCCUUUAGUUGCCAGCAGUUCGGCUGGGCACUCUAAAGGGACUGCCGGUGUUAAACCGGAGGAAGGUGGGGAUGACGUCAAGUCCUCAUGGCCUUUAUGACCAGGGCUACACACGUACUACAAUGGCCGAUACAAAGGGCAGCGACACUGCGAGGUGAAGCCAAUCCCGUAAAAUCGGUCUCAGUCCGGAUUGGAGUCUGCAACUCGACUCCAUGAAGUUGGAAUCGCUAGUAAUCGUGGAUCAGCAUGCCACGGUGAAUACGUUCCCGGGCCUU
rnacentral:rRNA from 1 species